UACGUAGGUGGCAAGCGUUAUCCGGAUUUAUUGGGUGUAAAGGGCGUGUAGGCGGGAGCGCAAGUCAGAUGUGAAAACUCAGGGCUCAACCCUGAGCCUGCAUUUGAAACUGUGUUUCUUGAGUGCUGGAGAGGCAAUCGGAAUUCCGUGUGUAGCGGUGAAAUGCGUAGAUAUACGGAGGAACACCAGUGGCGAAGGCGAAUUGCUGGACAGUAACUGACGCUGAGGCUCGAAAGCGUGGGGAGCAAACAGG
rnacentral:rRNA from 1 species